AGAAGUUAGGGGAGAUACCAUAUUCAUUAAGCUGGUUCUCCCAGGGCGAGGCUCAUCCAUUGCACUCCGGGUAUGCUGACCCCUGUGAUUUCCCCAAAUGCGGGAAACUUGACUGCAUAAUUUGUGGUAGUGGGGGACUGCGUUCGCGCUCUCUCCUG
ensembl:snRNA U1 U1 spliceosomal RNA